CCUACGGGAGGCAGCAGUGGGGAAUAUUGCACAAUGGGGGAAACCCUGAUGCAGCGACGCCGCGUGAGUGAAGAAGUAAUUCGUUACGUAAAGCUCUAUCAGCAGGGAAGAAAUACUGACCUUACGGUCAGCAGACGGUACCUGAGUAAGCAGCCCCGGCUAACUACGUGCCAGCAGCCGCGGUAAUACGUAGGGGGCAAGCGUUAUCCGGAUUUACUGGGUGGAAAGGGAGCGUAGACGGUGCGCCAAGUCUGGAGUGAAAUGCCGCAGCUUAACUGCGGAACUGCUUUGGAAACUGGCGAACUAGAGUGCGGGAGGGGUAAGCGGAAUUCCUAGUGUAGCGGUGAAAUGCGUAGAUAUUAGGAGGAACACCGGUGGCGAAGGCGGCUUACUGGACCGUAACUGACGUUGAGGCUCGAAAGCGUGGGGAGCAAACAGGAUUAGAUACCCGGGUAGUC
rnacentral:rRNA from 1 species